UACGAGAGGCCCAAACGUUAUUCGGAUUCACUGGGCUUAAAGAGUUCGUAGGCGGUCUAGAAAGUUGGGUGUGAAAGCCCUCGGCUCAACCGAGGAACUGCGCUCAAAACUACUAGACUUGAGGGAGAUAGAGGUGAGCGGAACUGAUGGUGGAGCGGUGAAAUGCGUUGAUAUCAUCAGGAACACCGGAGGCGAAGGCGGCUCACUGGGUCUCUACUGACGCUGAGGAACGAAAGCUAGGGGAGCAAACGGG
rnacentral:ncRNA from 4 species